rnacentral:rRNA from 1 species
CGCCCAGCAGCUAGCUCUGACCCACAACACCAACUAACCCUUAUUAAUAACCCUACACACACGUAAACCUGUUUAAACAAACCAUUUUUCCCCUGUAGUAUCAGCGAGAGAAAAGGACCUAGAAGCAAUAGAAAAAGUACCGCAAGGGACCGCUGAAAUAGGAGUGAAAUAACCCAGUUAAGCUUUGAGAAGCAGAGACUAGACCUCGUACCUUUUGCAUCAUGACUUAGCCAGAACUGAUCAAGCAAAAAGACUUUCAGUUUGACACCCCGAAACUAAGUGAGCUACUCCAAGACAGCCUAUUUAUAGGGCAAACCCGUCUCUGUAGCAAAAGGGUGGGAAGAUCUUAGAGUAGAGGUGAUAGACCUAUCGAACUUAGUGAUAGCUGGUUGCUCGGGAAUUGAACAGAAGUUCAGCCUUGCAUGCUUCUUCAGUAAUACCAGUGACACUCACACCCCAUAAGCCAAGAAACUGCAAGAGUUAGUCAAACGGGGUACAGCCCUUUUGACCGAAGACACAACUUUUCACAGGAGGGUAAAGAUCAUA